rnacentral:rRNA from 1 species
GGGUCUGUCCACUGGUCGGGCUUCACGGUCCGUACUGGUGAGAUGGGUUCCUACCUUCUGAAUAACCGGCAUGCCAUUCAGUUGGUGCGCCGGGGAAGCAGAGCUAUUACCUUGAAAAAAUUAGAGUGCUUAAAGCAGGCUAUUGCUUGAAUAGAUUAGCAUGGAAUAAUAAAAUAGGACGGCAUGGUUCUAUUUUGUUGGUUUCUAGGAUCACCGUAAUGAUUAAUAGGGAUAUUGGG